GACGAACGCUGGCGGCGUGCCUAAUACAUCAGCCAUUGAUUGGUGGCGGACGGGUGAGUAACGCGUAAAGAACUUGCCUCACAGGUAGGGACAACAUUUGGAAACGAAUGCUAAUACCUAAUCCUGUGAGAGAGCUUUGCGUCCCAUUAGCUAGUUGGAGAGGUAACGGCUCACCAAGGCGAUGAUGGGUAGCCGGCCUGAGAGGGUGAUCGGCCACAAGGGGACUGGGACAUGGCCCUUACUCCUACGGGAGGCAGCAGGGGGGAAUAGUGGACAAUGGACCAAAGUCUGAUCAAGCAAUUCUGUGUGCACGAUGAAGUUUUCGGAAUGUAAAGUGCUUUCAGUUGGGAAGCGGUACCAACAGAAGAAGUGACGGCUAAAUACGUGCCAGCAGCCGCGGUAAUAC
rnacentral:rRNA from 1 species